UUCUUCAGCGUUCCUCUGUUCCGUGUUCUCUUCUCUGUUUUUAGAUGUCAAAAUUUUAGACAAACUUCUUUAUCAACAAUGGGUUCUUCAAUAAUACCUGUCACGGAUCUUAACACCAUUCUUACUACUACUACUCUAAUCAUUUAUAUGAAACUAUUAGAAGAAGAAUAUGGAACCCUUAUCUUGUGUUUGAUGAUCCACUCGCACAAUGAUUUUUCCUCUCAAAAUUUAAGUUUAAGAAGGUUUUCAGUAUCGUGUUUGUUGAAGAGUUAUGCUCCACCAUUUCUCUUACUCUUCUGCACUACAAAGAGUGAUUUACCUACUCGAGAGUCUGGAUUCUUUUCAUCAGUUUUAUCGAGAGAACACCAUCCUAAUGAAGCUGCUUGAAAAUUUCUGACUUAGUGAUUUCAAUUGAUCAAGAAGAUGAAACAUCCAAAUCGACUGAAAUUGACUAUGUUGUAAAGAGUGUUCCAAGGUUUCAUUUGUGUACCACACUGAGCGAGUUUACCUUGAAUAUAGAUCCUUAAGUCAUACUUUCGGACAUGAUAUAAUGUUAAGAAGGAACGUGAGGACAAUGAUAGAGAGCAUUUGGUGUAGAAGCCUGAGCAAUUUUUCAAACCUUUGCAGCAAUUUUUCAGUUCUCUGCGGGGUUAUGGAACCUUAAGACAAUUACUCAUAAAACCACCACUCAAGAGCUGGGAGAAGUCAAUUGAUAAUUGGAAUUCAAAGAUGUUGUCACAUGUGGGAUGGUUGGUUAAAUGGAACUGCAGUAGCCAAUCUCAUUAAUUAGUUUUCUCCGUGGCCACAAAUGUUUUCCGUUGAAGAGCUUUGUCAGGUCUGUUGGCUUCUUCUCAGUUGGCUACAUUACCCUGCAGUUGUACGAUUAGUCUUUUCUUGCCAAAACAAGUUUUAAGCGUUAUCAGGAAUCAUUUGAGUUGCGGAACCUUAAGUCACGCUGUUAUACUCUGGAAACUUUCGGACAGGACAUAGUACUAAAAAGGAGUGUGAGGACAUGAUAGAGAACAUUCUAACCUGAGCAGUGAGCAAUUUCUCAAACCUCUAAAGUCUAAAGCAAUUUUUUAGCUAUUUGCGGGGUUAUGAUACUGGCAUUGGCACAUUGCUAUUAACAACAAGUAUUGUACUUGGAGCUUGGAAGAAUAUGGUUGCAGCAAGGCUGCAUAAGGCGUAUGUAAUCCACUUGAAUUUUAUGCAACAAAGUUCACAAUUACAAGUUCACAAUUAUGCAACUGGGAGACAGAAUAAGAAAUCACACCAAAUACAGUUGUAGGAAUACUUAUGCAGAUGAUAUAGGAUCAAAAGCUCUUCGAAAGUCGAACAGAAUUUCCUGCUUCGUCUCUACUAAGAGGUUCAUAAUACCCAACGUGAUGGCCAUCCAAGUGAUCCGCAAGGCUAGACAUACCGAUGUGAUGGAAUCUGCAGACGAAGUAGAUGAUGGAUUGGAUUACUAGACCAAAAUGAAAGAAAAUUACCAGCAACACUAAGCAUAAGAUUCCCAAACUCACUCGACCAACCAUAGCCAAUGAUUCUCCAUUUACAACCAGCGAGCUAAAGGCGUACAAGUUGCCCCCGUGUUACAAAUUUGUACCGGUAUUGUGGUGAUGAAAGAAAUCCAAAUCUUAACCUUAAGCAAGUCCUUCCCCUUCUUCACAGCUUCAAUUCCUCUAAUGUCUUCCAAAAUCGAUAUUACGCUGGCUAAGUACCAAUGGAGGCUGAUGUAAAUGGAUCGGAUAGAGUAAGGAAUAAAUAAAAUUCCGGCUAUAGAAAGCAUGAGGAAUAAUGAU